rnacentral:rRNA from 1 species
CAGCACCUCAAGUGGUCAGGAUGAUUAUUGGGCCUAAAGCAUCCGUAGCCGGCUCUGUAAGUUUUCGGUUAAAUCUGUAUGCUCAACAUACAGGCUGCCGGGAAUACUGCAGAGCUAGGGAGUGGGAGAGGUAGACGGUACUCGGUAGGAAGGGGUAAAAUCCUUUGAUCAAUUGAUGACCACCUGUGGCGAAGGCGGUCUACCAGAACACGUCCGACGGUGAGGGAUGAAAGCUGGGGGAGCAAACCGGAUUAGAUACCCGAGUAGUCC